AUGGAGCUCGCCGCGCUGCUCCUGCUUCUCCCCUUCCUCCUCGCCGGCCUCCUCUACCUCGGGAAGAAGGACGGCGGGGUCGAUGCGCGGCGCCUCCCUCCGGCUCCCCGGGGCCUGCCCGUCAUCGGCAACCUGCACCAGGUGGGCGCGCUCCCUCACCGCGCCCUGCGCGCGCUCGCCGCGGCCCACGGCGCGCCCCACCUGCUGCGGCUCCGCCUCGGCCAGGUCCCCGCGCUGGUCGCCUCCUCCCCGGCCGCGGCCGCCGAGCUCAUGCGCGCGCACGACCACGCCUUCGCCACGCGCCCCUACUUCCGCACCGCCGAGAUCCUCACCUACGGCUUCCGCGACCUCGUCUUCGCGCCCCACGGCGAGCACUGGCGCCACGUCCGCCGGCUCUGCUCCGAGCACGUCCUCAGCGCCGCCCGGUCGCACCGCCACGGCGCCAUGCGAGAGCGGGAGGUGGCCGCCCUGGUCCAGGCCGUCGCCGACCACGCUUCUUCUUCUUCUUCCGCCGCCGCCGUGGUCGACGUGAGCGGGGCGCUGUACCGGUUCGCGAACGACGUGAUCUGCCGGGUGGUCUCCGGGACUAGGCUGCCGAGAGAGGAAGAAGGAGGGAGGAGCGAGCUGUUCAGGGAGCUGAUCGAGGAGAACACGGCGCUGCUCGGCGGGUUCUGCGUCGGGGACUACUUCCCGGCGCUGGCGUGGGCGGACGCGCUGCUGUCCGGCGGCGGCGCGAGGGCCUGGAGGAACUUCAGGCGAUGGGACGAGCUGCUGGAGAAGGUGGUCGCGGAACACGAGGGGGAGAGGAGCGGUGCCGGCAUGGAGGAGGACUUCGUGGACGUGCUGCUGGCGCUGCGGGAGGACGGGCACGGGCAGGACGGGUUCGAGCUGAGCAGGGACAUCAUCAAGUCGCUCUUGGCGGACAUGUUCGCGGCGGGAACGGAGACGACCUACAUCGCGCUGGAAUGGUCCAUGUCGGAGCUGAUGAAGAACCCCGCGGCCAUGCGGAGGCUACAGCAGGAAGUCCGCAGCGCCGCAGCCGCACCGGCCGGCGGCAUUGCCAAGGCCGACGCGCUCGGCGCGGCCACGCCCUACCUGAAGGCGGUCGUGAAGGAGACACUCCGGCUCCACCCGCCGGUGCCGCUGCUCCUGCCCCGCGAGUGCAUGCAGGACGCCACCGUGCUGGGCUACCACGUCGCCGAGGGCACGCGGGUGUUCGUCAACGCCUGGGCCAUCAACCGCGACCCGGGCUCCUGGCGCGCGCCAGAAGAAUUUCUCCCCGAAAGGUUCUUGGAGAGCGAGGUGGACUUCAGGGGCGGGCACUUCCAGUUCAUACCCUUCGGCGCGGGGCGGAGGAUCUGUCCCGGGAUGCAGUUCGGGCUCGCGACCGUGGAGCUCGCGCUCGCCAAUCUGGUGCGCCUGUUCGACUGGGAGCUGCCGGACGGCAUGGCCCCGGAGGAGCUCGACAUGUCGGACGCGUCUGGGCUGACCACGCCAAGGCGGGUGGGCCUCCGGCUCGUCGCAAGGCCCGUUCGAGUGGAAUCAUGCAUGAAACAGGAGUAG
rnacentral:rRNA from 1 species